ACGUAGGGUGCAAGCGUUGUCCGGAAUUAUUGGGCGUAAAGAGCUCGUAGGCGGUCUGUCGCGUCGGCUGUGAAAACCCGGGGCUCAACCCCGGGCCUGCAGUCGAUACGGGCAGACUAGAGUGCGGUAGGGGAGACUGGAAUUCCUGGUGUAGCAGUGAAAUGCGUAGAUAUCAGGAGGAAUACCGAUGGCGAAGGCAGGUCUCUGGGCUGACACUGACGCUCAUGCACGAAAGCGUGGGGAGCAAACAGGA
rnacentral:rRNA from 1 species